GACGAACGCUGGCGGCGUGCUUAACACAUGCAAGUCGAACGGAAAGGCCCUGCUUUUGUGGGGUGCUCGAGUGGCGAACGGGUGAGUAACACGUGAGUAACCUGCCCUUGACUUUGGGAUAACUUCGGGAAACUGGGGCAAAUACCGGAUAGGCGCUCCUGCUGCAUGGUGGGGGUUGGAAAGUUUCGGCGGUUGGGGAUGGACUCGCGGCUUAUCAGCUUGUUGGUGGGGUAGUGGCUUACCAAGGCUUUGACGGGUAGCCGGCCUGAGAGGGUGACCGGCCACAUUGGGACUGAGAGACGGCCCAGACUCCUACGGGAGGCAGCAGUGGGGAAUAUUGAACAAUGGGAGGAAGCCUGAUGCAGCAACGCCGCGUGCGGGAUGACGGCCUUCGGGUUGUAAACCGCUUUCGCCUGUGACGAAGCGGGAGUGACGGUAAUGGGUAAAGAAGCACCGGCUAACUACGUG
rnacentral:rRNA from 1 species